rnacentral:snRNA from 1 species
ACUCAUAUAAUUGUUACACAUGU